UAGCUGAGCACAUCUCCAUUUCAGAAGGACUGGAAGAUGAAACAAUCCCUGGUUUCCUUUCCUUUUCAGUGCUCUUUAAAGAGCUUGGGAGACUGUGAUUUCCUGAACUUUUAAAUUUGCGACAAAGAAAUCUUGUCUACAGCGUGUUUAAAGGACAGGCUAAUGAAAACUGGUUUUCUGACAACGCUGAGUUACGAGAUGGCAGCACCUGUUGGACUUCAGUGAAAAUAUUCUUGUGGGCUCUGGUUUGCACUUUUUCAAGCCAUGGCUGAGGGAGUGCUGAAGUGUGCAGGGAGCAGAAGGUCCAGCCCAGUGUGGAAGGGUUGGCUGGAGCCUGGUUUGGAUGUCAGUGCAAACAGUGCCACCCUGAUGGAGGCUAAACAGGGAUCCCAGAGUCACAGAGCUGCUAAGGCUGGAAAAGACCUCGGAGGUAAUCGAGUCCAAGCAUUAACCCAGCACCACUGUGCUCACCACUAAACCAUAUCCCCAGGUGCCACAUCCAUAUGCUUUUAGAACACUUCCAGGAAUAAUGAUUCCACCACUUCCCUGCUGCACCCUGAGUAGGUUUAGCUUUCUUAGUUAGCUUUUUUUUCCCUUGACUUGUUGUUUCCCUGUUUGUUUCCCUGAAAAUGGAAAAUAUCUUCAUUUUCUAAUUUUGAUAAUUCUAGAUGAAAUUGUGCAAAUGGCUCCUCAGACUUGACAAAAGACCUGUGGGGUAAUGCAGUGAAGCUUACUCUUUAACAAAAUUACCACAAAUUGUGCUAAGAGCAUCAUAGCUUCAACUAAUGUAAAAUAAGCGAAGGUUUUCUGAAAAGUAGUGCAUCCAUUUAAUGCUUAUCUGGAAAACUAAGCAUACUUAAAUGUAUAAUAAAUAAAAACAAAGAACUUUUGGCAUUGUCUCACCUUUUUCCCUUGACAUGACUUUAUUAUCUAUUAUAACCAGGAAAAAUCUUUGUAUUCCAAAGAGAAGGUGUUUUUUAAAAAUACACGUGAAUAACAUAAAUAUUACUAUGGUGCAAAUACUCAUUCAAUUAUCUUUUUAUCUUAUUUUUUAUGGUUUUGGUAUAAGUUUCUGUUUAAUAGAACUCUGAAGCUCAGGUUGCAAUUUCAUGUCAGGUUCAGUGUUAGCCCCUUUACUGGUAAAAAGAGAAAAUCAAUCUGCUUUUGCAAUGUAAAUGUAGAGACAUAGAAUUGAAUUAGUUGAUAUUUCUCAACAUCUGAGAUAACAUAAAUAGGACCAUAAUUUUCCUUGUCACUUUCAUGUAUAAGUGCAGGAGAGGUCCAGGCAGGAAUUCUUACUUAUGUAUCCCUUACAUCUUCAAAGUGCAUGAUUUGUGUGCAGUCAUAAAGAGUGGACAGCUCAUAAUUUAAUUAUUUAAUCCAUAAAAUCCAUUUAAAAAAAGAAGGAAGAAUAAAGUUAAUGCCUUGUUUACAAUGACUUUAUGAUAACUCUCAUGUACUCAUGCAUUCAUUAACAGAAAACAGGUUUCUAUAAGGGCCCAAUUGUGUUUUGUUUCAAUCAACUCUGAAAGGAUAAUAAAAAAAUAGGAAAAACAAAGAUAAACCAAAUAAUAAAAAUUAAGUAAAAAGGGUUCUGAAGCCACAUUCUUGGGCUUAAAGAAGCAUAUUCUUACUUUUUAUUGUUCCUGAGUUAAAAAUUUACUAAUGCUCUUUAAAUUUAAGAACUGUUCAGUUGAUUACACACGACUUGACUGUGUAAACUUUUGAGUUAGAAAAGGUACUUAAAGCAUAAUAAGAACUCAUUAGUAGCAUUAAAGGAAAAUAGAAAAAAGUUUGUAUUUAGUAGUCAUGACUCUAAGAAAAGAAUUGUUCCACAAACCAUCCUGGCAGAAAAAGGAGCCAGGAAAGCACAGGCCUGAAGUCAGUUGAAAUUCAGCGUCUCUGUUCCACCAGCAGGGAACCUCUGCCUCCCAGAGGGAACUUUCAUGCAGGAGGGUAAAGCUGAAUUCUCCCAGAGUAAAGGAGGAUGUGCCCCCAUCCAGUGAGGUUCAUGCUGGGCAUGAAGUGCAGGUAAAAUCAGUCUUUUUAUUGGCCUGGGCUGUCUGCUGGGCACACACAGGAAUGCAGAAUGCCAAAAGAGAAGAAAAAAAAAAUCAGCAUCUGUUUUGCCUGGUGAUAACACUCUUAUUUUAUAUCAUGCAAUAUAUAAUGUAUAUAUUUACAUUUUUCAUUAGCAAUUCAAGUGAGAAUUGGUUGUUAAAUUAGUUGCAAGUGCUGACAUAUAAGGGCAGAUGAUUUGUAUUUUCUUAGAGAUGUGUAUGUAGCAUUUUCUGAAGGAGGUGGCUUUGGUACUGUUAUGCAUGUGAACAGCCUGGAAAUUCCAAGCUUUUAUCUUUUAGAGAAAUGUAUUACUGUUAUGGGCAAAAUGGAUCUAAAUAUCACAAACUUUUAUGUAUCUGUCUGAAUCCCAGCUGAGAGGCUAGCUGUGGGGUAUCUCUAAAAUAAAAAUGUUUAAUAUUCACUUUUUGUCAUCAAACAUUUACUUUAGUGCUAUUAAGUUUUGUCUUUUUAAACCAUGAUGCACCCUUCAGUAGGAGGAUGAGGCCCUACUCUCUUAUUGUCAGCUGUGAAUGCAACUCAUUGUUAAAGUCUGUGUGAUAAAUUUAUUUCAACUUUGUCUCCUAAAGGGGUGUCAUUUUGCAUCUUUUCUGCACUGAACAUUUUCACUGAGGACCAUGUCACAAGGGAGGUAUAAAACACAAGUAUAAAAUCAGGUAUUUGGAUUACAAGGUAAAUAUUUUUGGCUGGUAUUUAUUAUUACUACUUAGCUGUAGUGAUGAAGCAAAGAGACACUGAUAAUUGCAAAUUUGAAGAGUCUCUGUUUUGAAAAGGCAUUUCUAUCAGAUAGACUGGUAGAAAAAUAUUCAUCAAUCAUUUAGGUCUGUCUCAGGAAUUUAUUAACUUUUCCAUAAGCUGUAUAUUUCUGCCUAAUUAUAUCAUGAAUAAACAGCUGCAAUAAACAGUGAGAUUCAAUCUUCUGAAUAAGCACAUAACUACAUUCUUCACUAUUUUCUGGUUUUUGACAGCUUAGCAGUUAAACUGGAUGAACAUGGAAUAUAGUACAUGAAAAUGGAUGAGAAAGAAAGUGAUAAUGUAGCAUAUUUUCUCCACUUCCUUCUGAAACAGUGUAAAGCAAUCAGUUCUAAAAACCUCUGUCCAUGUAUUAGUUAAUCAAUACAAAUGUUCAGCCUGCUCCAAGAUAUUUUAACACCUGUCAGAGCUAGCUCAGCAGUCAUUGUUCAAAGCUUACAUGGAAGCAAAAACCACAACAGAAAACCUUUCCCAUCUCCAGGGGAUUAUCUCUAGGGAGGAAAAAAGAGAGAGUGAUUCUGGUUACUAGAAACGAGGGGGGGAACAGAGCUCCAAUUCUCAGAUGAUCCAAUUAUGAUUAGAAAAACUGUGUAAAAAAAAAAAAAAGUAGAGCUUGGAGAGUGAGGAAUUUAAUCAUGAUUAUCUGCCUCUUGUGAGGCAGUGUGAAAAUCUGCCAAACCCACCUUUGCUUAGUUACCCUGAAGUGUGGGAGGGAAGGGGAAGCAAAUGCAAAAUGAUGCACCGGGGAGGCGCCGUGAUAGAGAACAACAAGGGAAAUAAUUUCCUCUCAUACUGGGAAAAAGAUUCCUUUUCAAGACCUGUGAUAUUAUUAAUGAGGUAUGAAACUCUAGCAAAGAGCUUUGGCUCUUGUGUUGCUACCACUGCUCCUUGGAGCAGUAGAAUACAGUUACAUUUGCCAUGGGGUUAACAACAGAUCCCUGACUCGUAUACACCAUUCCCCUUCCUCUUAUACACAUGUUUUAUGUCACAUAUAAAUACUUGUAUUUCAUAUUUACUGUCUAUUACAAUAAAUAUAUUAGUUGUCAGGCUUAUUUUCUCCUCUCAUUCAAAUCACAUUGGGCUCAAGCAUGACAAACAAGUGUGAUGCAUAUUUUCUGGAGGUUUAAAAACAUAUCUGAAAUCUGUCCAGCUCUGUUGUUAAAAGUGUAAGUUAAAUGUACCAAGUGAUAUUUGGCCUUCAGAAAUGGAAGUGGGGAGGGUUGCCUUGACACGGUGGACCUGAAUUAACAUACUAUACUGUUUUAUACAUGAAUGAAUAAAUAGUAUAUUAACAAACUGCUUUGUACAUAUGUAUUUCUGCCUUUAUUCAUUACUUCUAAGGAACCUGGGGAUUGUGGUCUGACUGCACACAAGGUAGGUGCAGGUACAGGUAGGUACAAGCACCACAGGCACCACCCAGGACCCUUCCCUGGGCUCUCAGGGAUGCAGGUUUCCCUCAUCCUUGU
rnacentral:lncRNA from 1 species